CGCCACUCGUACCUUUACACGUAGGUAUAUCGUUAUAUAAUAUAGAAAUGUAUAGACGAACGAUAAAACGGGAUUUAUGGGGGGGGGGGGGGGGGGGGUGUAAAUUCCGACCUUUGCGGGAUAUAAACGCGGCGAACGGGCUCGCGAUGGACACACAUACCGGGUGAUCCAUUCAAGUGGGCACAGUCAUUGUCUCGGAAAGUAUUAACUUUUUUCGGGAUUUGUUUUCUAUAGAACAUUUCAAGAAACAAGCAGCUCUUCUUAACGAGUACCCACU